AGUAGCCAUUUUGGUCCCACCUAAAACAGACAGACCAGCUUCACUUUGGGCCGCCGGAGAUGGAAGAAACCGAGCCGACGGCGAGUAUUUCAGCCACCGAAACCGUUUGAAUCCCUCCAAGAAAUACCCACCGGUGACACUCGACGCCAUGGCUUGUUUCUAGACAGAGUUAUUUUUGUGAGAAAAAAAAGCCUGGGGCGAUUUUUGGAAGUGGCGACCGACAGCGCCUUAACGUUAGUUUAGUAAGCUACACUGAGUCAAACCCAAACGGGCAAACGGACACUGAUUUCGUUUGAACACGGGCCAUGAACGGUGUGUACGCGUCAUGUAAAUAUUGAACAUAAGAUUAUUAUGCUCAUUUCUUUUCGGUGUUUAACAGUUCAGGUGCUCGGCUCUUAACACGUCCGGUCUGGUUUGAAAAUUGUCACGAUCCAUGCUGAGACUGUUUCCCCGGAGAGAGCUGCAAAGCAAAGCAAUAAUUUCAUUUUUCGGCUGAGAAGGUGUCGGUGGAUUUUGGACAUCAGACGGCGACUGGUAAAAGGAAGGACGAUUAAAAGAUGUCAACAAAAACUCCUUUGCCUACGGUCAACGAGAAGGUGACGGAAAGUCACACGUCACACAGCAAUGGGCGUCAGGAGAUCGGCACGCGCUCGGCCCGGACCGGCGUGCGAUCGCGCAGCUCGGAGGAGCAGCAGCAGCCCCACGUAGGCAACUACCGGCUGCUCAAAACCAUCGGCAAGGGCAACUUUGCCAAGGUCAAACUGGCCCGACACAUCCUCACCGGCAGAGAGGUGGCAAUUAAGAUAAUAGACAAGACGCAGCUGAACCCAAACAGCCUUCAGAAGCUCUUCAGAGAAGUUAGAAUAAUGAAGAUCUUGAAUCAUCCGAAUAUAGUCAAGCUUUUUGAAGUGAUUGAGACAGAGAGGACGCUCUACCUGGUGAUGGAGUACGCCAGCGGAGGAGAGGUGUUCGACUACCUGGUUGCACAUGGAAGAAUGAAGGAAAAAGAGGCCAGGGCUAAAUUUAGACAGAUCGUAUCGGCGGUGCAGUACUGCCACCAGAAGCACAUUGUUCACAGAGACCUCAAGGCUGAGAACCUGCUCCUCGACGCAGACAUGAACAUCAAGAUCGCUGAUUUUGGCUUCAGCAACGAGUUCACUCUGGGCAACAAGCUGGACACGUUCUGCGGCUCUCCUCCGUACGCGGCGCCGGAGCUUUUCCAGGGGAAGAAGUACGACGGGCCGGAGGUGGACGUCUGGAGCCUCGGGGUCAUCCUGUACACGCUGGUCAGCGGCUCGCUGCCCUUCGAUGGACAGAACCUCAAGGAGUUGCGUGAACGUGUGCUCCGGGGGAAGUACCGCAUCCCUUUCUACAUGUCCACAGACUGCGAGAACCUCCUCAAACGCUUCCUGGUGCUCAACCCGGCCAAGCGGGGUACUCUCGAGGUGAGGGAGGACGCAGAAAAUCAAAUCAUGAAGGAUCGAUGGAUCAAUGCAGGAUUUGAGGAGGACGAGCUCAAGCCUUAUACUGAACCAGAGCUGGACAUCACGGAUCAGAAGAGAAUAGAUGUGAUGGUGGGGAUGGGCUACAACCUGGAAGAGAUCCAGGACUCUCUGGCCAAGAUGAAGUAUGACGAGAUCACAGCCACCUACCUGCUGCUGGGCAGGAAGGCCUCUGAGCUGGAGCCCAGCGAGUCGGCCUCCAGCAGCAACCUCUCUCUGGCCAAACCGAGACCCAACAGCGAGCUCAACGGCCAGUCGCCCUCCCACCUCAAAGUCCAGAGGAGCGUCUCCUCCAACCACAAACAGAGGCGUUACAGUGAACAAGUCGGCCAGAACGUCCCUCCGGGGAUGGCUCAUCCAAAGCGGAGUCAGACCACCACAUCGGAGAACAGCGCGAAGGAGGAAGGCGGAGUCCAGCUCCGCAAACCCAGCACCCCGGGGAGCCGCGGCGCUCCGCCCUCCAGCCCUCUGCUGGGCAACGCCAACAACCCCAACAAGGCUGACAUCCCCGACCGCAGGAAAGGCGCCACCACCGGCCCGAGUAAUAACGCUGCGUCGGCAGGGAUGACCAGGAGGAACACGUAUGUCUGCAGUGACAGGAACAACACGGACCGCCUCUCCGUCAUUCCCAACGGGAAGGAGAACAGCAGCGUCGCGGUGUCGCCCGGCGGCCAGAGGAACCCGGUGGCGUCGACCCACAGCAUCGCCAACGCCACCACGCCCGACCGCCUCCGCUUCCCCCGGGGCACCGCCAGCCGCAGCACCUUCCACGGGGGCCAGCUGAGGGACCGCCGCACGGCCACGUACAACGGGCCGCCGGCCUCGCCCACCCUCUCCCACGAUGCCACCCCUCUCUCCCAGACCCGCAGCCGUGGAACCAGCAACCUGUUCUCCAAACUCACCUCCAAACUCACCCGCAGAAACAUGUCAUUCAGGUUUACCAAAAGGUAGGACUCUUGUACUGCCUUUUCGCUCUGUGCCAAAAAAAAAAAACAUUAAAAAAAAAUAACGUGAAAACAAUGUCACUGAGAAACUUCCUGUGAAAGUCUACAGACGCGUGGGGCUGCUGGCACUGAACUAACACAUCGCUUAGCAGAACAAAAAACUCUCUCUGGGUGCAUUUACACACACGGGUUAUAAUCAGAUUAAUGUGAUCAGAUUUGUGACAUGAUUUCUUUUACCCCUGUAAUCCAAAUUAACAUGGUCUAAUUUAUGGAUAGAGCUAGUUUUAGUUGUAAAGGAUUAGUUCGACAUCAGGGGAAAUACGAUUCUUUGCUUCCUCGCUGGGUGUUGGAUGAAAAUAUCAAGUGUGUGUGCGGUGAAAAUGAAGCUGCAGCCACAAGCACGAAGACUUGUAACAAGGAGCAGCAGCCGUCCUGCCUCUGUCUGAAGGCUCUUCAUUUAACUAAUGACAUGUAACGUGUUAAUUAGGCGCUUGUUAGCUUGUUUCGUUACCUUUGGACAGAGCCAGGCUAGUUGUUUCCCACUGUUUCCAGCCUUUAUGCUAAGCUAAGCUAAGCUAACUAGCUCCUGGCUCUUCUUUAGGGCGACCUCGAUCCUCUCAUCUAACUCUUGGCAAGAAAGCAAAUAAAAUGUCAAACUAUUCCUUUACAGGGGGAUGUAACACAAAAAGGACAAGUCAAAAAACAAAAACAUAUGUAAUUGUUCUUAAUGUCUAAGAAGAGGAAGCUGAGUUUUGCAUUAAUCGGGUUUUAACGUGUGUUUCUGUGUGUGUAAACGUACUCACUGGCUGUGGUUGGUCUGAGUGGAUAAAGGCUGAUUGGGAGAGCAGCCCGGACUCCUCGAACAAUCAGUCGAUUAACCAGCAGCAACGACAGAGCAGCUUGCCACUAAUCAAUCGCCAGUGCAUGCAUGGGGUCGCUUCUUACAGCUGCCAUUGAUUGUGGUUUGUUUUCUCGCCACAACGAUUGUUGUUAACGACUGAUCUCUCUCUCUCUCUCUCUCUCUCUCUCUCUCUCUCUCUCUCUCUCUCUCUCUCUCUCUCUCUCUCUCUCUCUUUGCUGUUGAAGCUGCACAUUUUUUAGACGGAGCUUUUAACGUUACUCUGCUGCAUUAUUCACCAUAAAACAGAUUCUUAUUUUUAUAUUUUUUUAUUAUUUUUUUUUUAACUCUCUCUGGCUCAGAAGUGAUUUUUCUCCUGGCUGUUAAAAUCAGGAAGAAAUCACGCAGGAUGAGAUUGUUCCUGUUUCCAGACGGUGAAGGGGAGAAAGUGUCCGAGCCACAGAGAGCUAUAAAAAAAAAAUAAAAAAAUCUGACUUGUGUUUGUUCUUGUGUGAAUUCAGCCUCUGUGCAGAUCGUCGUGUUUGUGUAGAAGUUGGUUGGUUUAUCCAGUGGGUGUUGUGUUUCGUUGUGCUUUGCUGUGCAUAUACUUUAACGGCUGUAGUCACUUAAGUUUAAAUAUCUGCUGGUCGAUACUUUUGUCCCGUUUCUGUUGUUUGUUGUGUUUUGGGAAAAGGUUGUAGGUAUUGAUCAGGGUUUCUGGGCUUUGGUGAAUCAUCUUUAAGAAGAACUGUGAUGAUCCUCAGUUCAUCUUUAUCCAGGACAUGACAGUCAUCUUGUCUCCCAUCAGGCGUCUGAGGUCGUUAACGGUUUCCUUUUGAUCAGUCAUGUGACUUGUAAACCAUCAUAAAUACUAUAAAGUAUACAAAACAAUAUUACCAUGGUAAUCUUCACAAAAUCGUAUUGGAUGCAGAAAAUUUACAGGAGAAAUACAAAUGAAUAAAUAUGAAAAAUUUAUCUUAAUUUUUCAAAACAAAACGGUAAAUUCUGAACUCUUUCAAACUAAUGUUUUGAAAACAGUAGUACGCUUAUCAUAUAAAUAGUUGUGGUUUCAUGUGGGUGCUUGAAGGAGUCGGGUCAGUGUCAGUUGAGUUCACCCACUGAUGGGGGUCAGGGUGUGAAACUGAUCCGUCAUCAGACCAGGACACUGAUAUAAAACCAAACAGACUCUUUUUGAGUGAUUAGAUCGGCGUGAUCGAAGCGUCCUCAGUAUCAGCUGUGGCCUCAGAACAGCGGCGGGGCUUUGUGGCCCUCGCAGGGCGCCGUCUCGAGGCUCAGCAGCGCCCUCUGGUGGCGGCUUUGUAAACAGUUUUCUUCCUUUGGCAGCAGCAUCAUCAUCAUCAUCCUCCUCAUCAUCAUCAUCACCAUCCAGAGCCUCGUGUCUCUCAGCUCUGGUGUUAUGUGUCAUCACAGUCCUCUGAUCACCUCACUUUGGUUUUGUGUUUGUCCUCAUUUCCUACGGAGCCCUGAACCUGACGACGCCGAGGGAAAUGUUUUCAGACGAGUCAGAAAAUAAAAACUGGAGACACACGUAAAUAAUAGUGGUCAGUAUUGACCCGGCCAAACGGCAGAUGGCCAAAACAGGGCCUGCCAUCCCUUCUACCCAGGGAGGAAAGACCCUUAAGUCUCAACCGAGUUUGAGAGAAACGGGAGAC